ensembl:lncRNA
CCUCUUCAGAGCCCGCCCUCCCUCUGUGGAGGUCUCUCCAAGGAACGUUCUCUACCCUUCUUGGGUCAGAAUCGUUCCCUGCUCCCGAGCUGGCGCCACAGGACCCAGGAGUUGGGGGAGUUCAGCCGUCCCCCAAACUCAGGAAGACAGUGACCUGAACCCCUCUUUCCACCAGACUGGCUGCCCUUGAAGUCAGAAAUUAUGGACCAGCUCUCCUGUCCCUGGGGUGAUUGACCCGGAAACUUGUCAGGUGAUGUUCACCACAGUGAACUUGUCAGAUUCCCGACUUAACAGCCACACGUACUGUCUUCUCUGGGGCUGUUUAUUCAGCGCUAAUGCCCUGGAAUAAAUAGUUAUCUUUGGUCCUAGGGCGUUCUAGGGCACAUUGAGAGUGGAAAGAUCAUUUUCAGUUAAUUAUUCUCUCCUGGAGACAGCAUCCUGGCAGGGGAAGGACCGCACGUGGAAGCGAGGAUUCCUCUUAUGUCUCCAAGUCAGAUGAACGAAUCCGGAUGUAGAGUUGUUACCCAGGGUCAAAAUGCCAUCAGUGUUUUAGUUAGAUCCCACCUCUUUACAAAGGACAGUUCCUUCUUUGAAGGGGUUUAUAGGCUGGGUAAAUGAGAGGGAUACAUACAAAUCAGUAAUACCAGACUCUUUAUGAUAAAUGACAAGGUAUGGGAAGAUACACAGAUGUGGAAAUGAUUGUCAUGAAGAAGGAAGUUUAUUCACUCAGAGACCUGUCCCUGGAAGCAGAAGGCCAUGCAUGCAAGACAUGCGAAGAUCUUAGUUCCUCGACCAGAGAUUGAACCUGUGCCCCCUGCAUCCGGAGCAUGGAGUUUUAACCACUGGACCACCAGGGAAGUUCCUAAAUCUUCAGUUUUUAUGGACAACCUGCUUGGGAUGAGACAGGUAAGGAUGUGAAUAAAAUAAAAUAAAUAAGUAAAAAUUUCAAAUAAAAAUUUCAAGGUAAAAAGGAGUUGAUUUAAGGAAAGAAGGUCAGACAUAGAACAGGCGGGGAGAGUACCAUGAUAUCCAAAUUUGAGAAAUUCUUAUUUAGCUCCCUCUGCAAUCUCAAGCCCUCCAGCAGGCUGGCAUGUGCAUGGCCGCCUCUGGCCAUGCAGAAUU